rnacentral:tRNA from 1 species
GCCGGGGUGGCGAAAUGGCAGCCGCGAUGGAUUCAAAAUCCAUUGCCCGUUGAGGGCGUAGGGGUUCAAGUCCCCUCCUCGGUACCC